rnacentral:rRNA from 1 species
UACGAAGGGGGCUAGCGUUGCUCGGAAUCACUGGGCGUAAAGGGUGCGUAGGCGGGUCUUUAAGUCAGGGGUGAAAUCCUGGAGCUCAACUCCAGAACUGCCUUUGAUACUGAAGAUCUUGAGUUCGGGAGAGGUGAGUGGAACUGCGAGUGUAGAGGUGAAAUUCGUAGAUAUUCGCAAGAACACCAGUGGCGAAGGCGCUCACUGGCCCGAUACUGACGCUGAGGCACGAAAGCGUGGGGAGCAAACAGGAUAGAA